AACGUAGGAGACAAACGUUAUCCGGAGUUACUGGGCGUAAAGCGUGCGUAGGUGGUUCGUUAAGUCUGUCGUGAAAGCCCCGGGCUCAACCUGGGAAUGGCGAUGGAUACUGGCGAGCUAGAGUGCGGUAGAGGAGAGUGGAAUUCCCGGUGUAGCAGUGAAAUGCGUAGAGAUCGGGAGGAACAUCAGUUGCGAAGGCGGCUCUCUGGACCAGCACUGACACUGAGGCACGAAAGCGUGGGGAGCAAACAGG
rnacentral:rRNA from 1 species